CGCAUAAGCCCACGGCUCGGCAUCGAGCAGAGGGAAAAGGAGCAAUCCGCUUUGAGAUGGCCUCGCGUCCGAUUAGCUAGUUGGUGAGGUAAUGGCCCACCAAGGCGACGAUCGGUAGCCGGACUGAGAGGUUGAACGGCCACAUUGGGACUGAGACACGGCCCAGACUCCUACGGGAGGCAGCAGUGGGGAAUAUUGCACAAUGGGGGAAACCCUGAUGCAGCGACGCCGCGUGGAGGAAGAAGGUCUUCGGAUUGUAAACUCCUGUUGUUGAGGAAGAUAAUGACGGUACUCAACAAGGAAGUGACGGCUAACUACGUGCCAGCAGCCGCGGUAAAACGUAGGUCACAAGCGUUGUCCGGAAUUACUGGGUGUAAAGGGAGCGCAGGCGGGAGAACAAGUUGGAAGUGAAAUCCAUGGGCUCAACCCAUGAACUGCUUUCAAAACUGUUUUUCUUGAGUAGUGCAGAGGUAGGCGGAAUUCCCGGUGUAGCGGUGGAAUGCGUAGAUAUCGGGAGGAACACCAGUGGCGAAGGCGGCCUACUGGGCACCAACUGACGCUGAGGCUCGAAAGUGUGGGUAGCAAACAGGAUUAGAUACCCUGGUAGUCCACACCGUAAACGAUGAUUACUAGGUGUUGGAGGAUUGACCCCUUCAGUGCCGCAGUUAACACAAUAAGUAAUCCACCUGGGGAGUA
rnacentral:rRNA from 1 species